rnacentral:rRNA from 1 species
AUACCGCAUACGUCCUACGGGAGAAAGUGGGGGAUCUUCGGACCUCACGCUAUCAGAUGAGCCUAGGUCGGAUUAGCUAGUUGGUGAGGUAAAGGCUCACCAAGGCGACGAUCCGUAACUGGUCUGAGAGGAUGAUCAGUCACACUGGAACUGAGACACGGUCCAGACUCCUACGGGAGGCAGCAGUGGGGAAUAUUGGACAAUGGGCGAAAGCCUGAUCCAGCCAUGCCGCGUGUGUGAAGAAGGUCUUCGGAUUGUAAAGCACUUUAAGUUGGGAGGAAGGGCAGUAAGUUAAUACCUUGCUGUUUUGACGUUACCGACAGAAUAAGCCCGGCUAACUCUGUGCCAGCAGCCGCGGUAAUACAGAGGGUGCAAGCGUUAAUCGGAAUUACUGGGCGUAAAGCGCGCGUAGGUGGUUCGUUAAGUUGGAUGUGAAAGCCCCGGGCUCAACCUGGGAACUGCAUCCAAAACUGGCGAGCUAGAGUAUGGUAGAGGGUGGUGGAAUUCCUGUGUACCGGUGAAAUGCGUAAAUAUAGGAAGGACACCCAGUGGCCGAAGG